AUCUCUAAUAGGCUCCCACCCAGGUGAUGCUGGCACCAGUCUGCAAACCACACUUUAAGUAGCAGUGUGCUAGAUCAGGGGUUGGCAUACUGAGGCCAGCAGGCCAAAUCUGACCCAUUGCCAGCAUUUGUAAAUGAAGUGUGAUUGGAAGACAGCCGUGCCUGACCACUUCCAUAUUGUCUAUGGCUGCUUUUGCACUGCAAUGGCAGAGGGCCGACCCAGUGGCCGAGUAGUUAAGUUUGCACGCUCCACUUUGGCGGCCCAGGGUUUCACCGUUUCAAAUCCUGGGCACAGACAUGGCACUGCUCAUCAAGCCAUGCUGAGGCAGCAUCCCACAUGCCACAACUGGAAGGACCCUCAACUAAAAUAUACAGGGAAGUGCCUACAUUGAAGCUGAAUCCACAAGAGAUUUUGUAGCAGAGGUUGCUUUGUGUUGGCUGAGAAGUCAGAAUGGAUGACUUCUAGAAUCUCCUCCAACUCUGUAUCUCCUCCAAAAAGACCAAUGAAUUUCCCAAGGCCACACUUUUAUUCAGUGUCUAGCCAAAGCUAGAACCUACACCUCCCAGUUCUCUUUCCUCUAUCUCCUUCUCCAAUGGGAUUAUCAAUAUCAGAGUGGUUCUCAGACUUGCCUGAAGGGUGGAAUCACCUGGAGAACUUUCAAAGCUCCUGAUACCUGGUAUUCACUCCUAGAGAGACUGAUCUAAGUGCUCUGGGGUCAGCCCCAGGUUUUAAGCAUCGUACAAUUUCAAAUGUGCAGCCAGGAUGGAGAACACUAACAUCUGAUCAUCUCCCUGCUUUGCUAACAACCUUCUGAGGAUUCAACAACCCUUGCGUCUGCUGGGGAAAAGUCCAGAAUCCCUGACCUGGUUGUCAGCACCCUGAGAGACCUGGCCCCUCCUCCCAGCCCCUCAGCAGUGGGCUUUCCAGGCU
rnacentral:lncRNA from 1 species